rnacentral:pre_miRNA from 14 species
UUUUCAUUUAGGCAAUAUUGAAUUUGAAAGAUCCCCGAAGAGAGACCCUUACUCAAGUCUUGGGAAAUCGCGGACCCCAGACACAGAGAGACCA